rnacentral:lncRNA from 1 species
GCAGAUUAUUCACACAAGAGAAACUAUUCAGUAUUUACACAUGUGGAAAUCUGGAAUCUUAAAUGUUCUAAAAUAUGAAGCAGUUUGGGUGAUGAUACAACAAUAGAAGUUGAAAGUUCCACACCUGGCUUCAUGUGAUGGAUCGUGGUCUAAAACAUGCACACCAAAAUUAUUGCAUAAAAUUAUCUUCAGGCUAUGUGUAUAAGGACAUCGAAGCAGCCACAACAGCUCAACUAAAGACACUCAUGAAAGGGGACUUCUGGAGCUGCUCUAGGAAGUGGCAAGAACAAGAGGACAAGUAUAUUUGAAGCAAGCAUUCUCUUCAAGCCUGUCCUCCACUAUCUCCUCUACCACGAAAUAAAUAAAGCCUCCAUCUACAACAGCAACUGCACACAGUUCUUGCCAUCAUUGAGUUUCACCUGUGAACCCCAGCCAUGUGACAGCUGCAAGGAACCUGAGAGAUUCCCCAACCUGACCAUUUCAGGGUAAAAGGGAGGAGAGGGAAAGUGAGAGAUUCACAUAGUAAUACCACAGUCACUGCCAAGGAGCCACAACACCCAU